rnacentral:rRNA from 1 species
UACAGAGGAUGCAAGCGUUAUCCGGAAUGAUUGGGCGUAAAGCGUCUGUAGGUGGCUUUUUUAAGUCCGCCGUCAAAUCCCAGGGCUCAACUCUGGACAGGCGGUGGAAACUACCAAGCUUGAGUACGGUAGGGGCAGAGGGAAUUUCCGGUGGAGCGGUGAAAUGCGUAGAUAUCGAGAGGAACACCAGAGGUGAAGACGGGUUGCUGGGCCGACACUGACGCUGACAGCGCGAAAGCCAGGGAGCAAACGGG